rnacentral:rRNA from 1 species
UACAGAGGUCUCAAGCGUUGUUCGGAUUCAUUGGGCGUAAAGGGUGCGUAGGAGGACUGGUAAGUCAGUGGUGAAAUCCCCGAGCUUAACUUGGGAACUGCCGUUGAUACUAUCAGUCUUGAAUACCGUGGAGGUGAGCGGAAUAUGUCAUGUAGCGGUGAAAUGCUUAGAUAUGACAUAGAACACCGAUUGCGAAGGCAGUUCACUAAGGUUGUAUUGACACUGAGGCACGAAAGCGUGGGGAUCAAACAGG